CAAUAGCGUAUACUAAAGUUGUUGCAGUUAAAAAGCUCGUAGUUGAAUUUCUGGAUGUGAAAGGUGGUCGGCACCUCACGGUGUCUGCACCUACCAUUCGCGUCCAUCCUCGGGAGGAACAUGUGGACACUUUAGUGGGUCUGCAUGGGAAUCUCGUCAUUUACUGUGAGCAAAAUAGAGUGUUCAAAGCAGGCUUACGCCGUUGAAUAUAUUAGCAUGGAAUAAUAAGAUACGACUUUGGUCUAUUUUGUUGGUUUGCAUUCCAAAGUAAUGAUUAAUAGGGAUAGUUGGGGGUAUUCGUAUUCAAUUGUCAGAGGUGAAAUUCUUGGAUUUGUUAAAGACUAACUUAUGCGAAAGCAUUUGCCAAGGAUGUUUUCAUUA
rnacentral:rRNA from 1 species